ACGACCUCAGAUCAGGCGAGACGACCCGCUGAAUCUAAGCAUAUUACUAAGCGGAGGAAAAGAAACUAACCAGGAUUCCCUCAGUAGCGGCGAGUGAAGAGGGAAGAGC
rnacentral:rRNA from 1 species